rnacentral:rRNA from 1 species
AGUGAACGCUGGCGGUAGGCCUAACACAUGCAAGUCGAACGGCAGCACAGUAAGAGCUUGCUCUUACGGGUGGCGAGUGGCGGACGGGUGAGGAAUACAUCGGAAUCUACUUUUUCGUGGGGGAUAACGUAGGGAAACUUACGCUAAUACCGCAUACGACCUACGGGUGAAAGCAGGGGAUCUUCGGACCUUGCGCGAUUGAAUGAGCCGACGUCGGAUUAGCUAGUUGGCGGGGUAAACGCCCACCAAGGCGAGGAACCUUAGCUGGUAUGAGAGGCAGAUCAGCCACACUGGAACUGAGACACGGCCCACACUCCUACGGGAGGCAGCAGUGGGGAAUAUUGGACAAUGGGCGCAAGCCUGAUCCAGCCAUACCGCGUGGGUGAAGAAGGCCUUCGGGUUGUAAAGCCCUUUUGUUGGGAAAGAAAAGCAGCAGGUUAAUACCCCGCUGUUCUGACGGUACCCAAAGAAUAAGCACCGGCUAACUUCGUG